rnacentral:rRNA from 1 species
AAAACGACUCUCGGCAACGGAUAUCUCGGCUCUCGCAUCGAUGAAGAACAUAGCGAAAUGCGAUACUUGGUGUGAAUUGCAGAAUCCCGUGCCAUGAGUCUUUGAACGCAAGUUGCGCCCCAAGCCGUUAGGCCGAGGGCACGUCUGCCUGGGUGUCACGC